rnacentral:miRNA from 1 species
CCCAGUCACCUCCGAAGCUCA